CGAAGCCUGUGACGCGCAAGCCAGGAACAAUAACAGGCCGUAGUGUAUUUAAGUGGCAUGUAAUGUAUCGAGUGUUCAAGUCAGCGCGAUGAUAUGUAAUGUUUUAAUGAUGAAAGAUUUGACGAAAGCCCUUGUGUUAUUGUACAUAUUGAAACUUCUGGGGAUUAAGUGUUUAAGUGCAGAAGGAAACACUGCUACAAAUGCAGUCAAUGUGGAUGUCUACGCCCUCUACGAUUUCGGUCCGAAUCAGCUCUAUGAAUUUCAGCAGGGCCAAGAUGUUGAGUUUAAUGCAAGAACCUAUUUCUAUGCCCUAUUUAUGAAGGUGCAAGAACAAUUUUAUAACCUUUCUGUCGAGAUAACGCUAACACUAAAAGACGCGUCUGCUGCGAAUAAGACCUCGUUGGUGUAUAAAGAAAAAACAGACGAGAAAGAUGUAGUCGAUCGGGAA
rnacentral:lncRNA from 1 species